UGCAGAUCCUUGACGCCUCUCUGGCCACAGACAGACUCAGAUACUAGGAGCUGCAGCUGGUUUGGUUCAUUUACUGUGAAAAGUUCCACAUUUCAUAUAAUGAAAUCAGCAAAAAGUUCAUCCUGACCUCCUCAGAAUCAGAUGAGAUAAAAACGGUGCAAAGACGAGAUGGAAAAAGUGCAAAGAAGAGAUGGGAAAAGUGCAAAGAAGGGAUGAAAACGGUGCAAAGAUGAGAUGGAAAAAGUGCAAAGAAGAGAUAAAAAUGGUGCAAAGACGAGAUGGAAAAAGUGCAAAGAAGAGAUAAAAAUGGUGCAAAGACGAGAUGGAAAAAGUGCAAAGAAAAGAUAAAAAUGGUGCAAAGACGAGAUGGAAAAAGUGCAAAGAAGAGAUGGGAAAAGUGCAAAGAAGAGAUGGAAAAAGUGCAAAGAAGAGAUGGGAAAAGUGCAAAGAAGGGAUGAAAACGGUGCAAAGAUGAGAUGGAAAAAGUGCAAAGACGAGAUAAAAAUGGUGCAAAGACGAGAUGGAAAAAGUGCAAAGAAGAGAUAAAAAUGGUGCAAAGACGAGAUGGAAAAAGUGCAAAGAAGAGAUAAAAAUGGUGCAAAGACGAGAUGGAAAAAGUGCAAAGAAGAGAUGGGAAAAGUGCAAAGAAGAGAUGGGAAAAGUGCAAAGAAGGGAUGAAAACGGUGCAAAGACAUCCUCUGCAUCACCCGUCACUCAUGGCUCCUGAGUGUCCUUCAGUGUUGUUGUUGCUGUUCUUUAGUCACCAUGGCAACCAGACCUGAGGCUGUUCUUAUAAACUCACCUGCUUCUCUGAAACUGAACCAGUGUGACGACAACCCUGGAGGAACGUGCUUCAGUUUGGAGGCUGGACGUGAUGCGACUGUUUUUCCAUUUAGUGCAUCUUCUUCUGCUGGAAACUGAAAGUACUUGAGGGCUGGAAAUUUACAUCCUUUGACAGCCGCCUCGUUUCAUUCCCACGUGAGAUCGGAGGCGAAAAGGUGAGACGUUCACAGAGUCGUAGAAGCAAACAUCAGAGAGAGAUAAGAAUCACUCAGCUGUGACAUUAAACACUUGACCUGGAAUCAUCGGAGCACUGAAAGUGAGGAGAUGAUGUGCAGGAUUCUGCUGCUGCUCAGCUUCAGCUCCAGUGUCUCUGGAGUCCUGUCCUUUAACAAGGCUUUACACUAUGAGGCUGAGGAGAACAGCAACGUCACCGUGGAGUGGAGCUUCGCCUUGACAACCGGCCUCAGCAUCUCCUCCCUGAAGAUCCACUGUUUGCUGCUCCCUGACCUGCAGGUGUUUUAUCACCUGGACCACAGCGUGGAGGAGCCUCAGCACCAGCGGUUUGCUGGACGGGUCCAAUGCGACACAGAGGCUCUGACUGCAGGACGAGUCCGGCUGCUUCUGUCCAGGACCAGGACAGACGACUCGGGCCGCUACCUGUGCAGGAUGGUCACCGGGUUUGGCAAGGAGGUCAGAGAGUUCUGGCUCAACGUCACCGCUGCAACAGUCAGAACCACACCUGAACCUCCCAGUGCGGUCAGAACCUUGCUGCUGGUUGCCAUGGCAGCAGGGGUGGUGGUUCUGUUGACCUCCUGCUGCCUGGUGCUCCACUGACGUCCGAUCUGAGUCUAACGAGGAUCUGGCGCCCUCUUGCUGCUCCAGAAGGAACCUGCAGGUGAGUCACACCUGGCUCUGCUGCAGAAGCUUCACCGCAGAGUUGUGGUUCUGGACCGACCCGGUUCCGUGGAGGCGGGACCGCAGCGUUCUUGUUUACCUGCCUGGAGGAGCUCUUGAAGCUCAGGUGAUCACAGAUGUUCUCGCUGAUGUUUAAAAGUGAAACCGGUUUACGGGGACUUUGGUGUAAAUGUGAAUGUUUUCAGACAGAAUUCACUAAAUCUGUUCCUCAACUUUCUGUGAUCCUCUUCGGUUUACGUUUUCCAUAUCUGGGUUUUCACGUGUUGGUUAAAUAAACGUUGCAGUAACCGUUCUGUAAUCUUCAUGUCAGUGGAUCAUGGAUUGUAAAUACAUAAAGUAAUGAUACAAGUCUUCACCUGAAUAAUCAACACUGACUUUAUGUUUUGGAAUAUUUAUACUUUGUCUGUCGAUAAAUGUACUUUUUUUCUUUUAAAUAUUAAAAAAAAUGCUUUUAUUGCAAGUAGUGCUUUUAUUUUCAGGCUACAUUUCUCUUUUAAUGCUGCAGUAAGGGGACCAAGCAAACAUACACGAGGAUUUGUUUUGAUAGUUGCCUUUUUUUUGUUGCAUGAAUAAAAACCAGAUUUGGUGUUUAGAGUGUGUCACCUGGAGUGGAUGUAAAACUGGUCUGGUGUCAGUUUUAACCAGAACUCUGAUGUGUUUGUCUUCCUAAAAUGCCAUGUGUCUGACUCCUCGUCACACUUUGAAUCAGAAAACAAAGAUUAUGACUUCUUGAUGAACAACAUCCUCAUCUUCGGGACAUUUUAUAUACACAAAUGCAAAUCCAUGAUGGUAAAUCCUAGAUUUUAUGUGUUUCAUGAGGAGUUUCUGUCCUUCACUAAAGCCCUUAAAAAUGAAGUCUAAACAUGCAAUGAAACUGUUCAAUGUGAUUGAGAAUUACGAUCUGCAAAAAAACGCCUUAGCUCUAUGUUUUGUUCUGUUUUAUUUAUAUUUAUUUAUUUUUUUUCCUUUUUUGCUUUGAUUCUAUUUCAUUCUCUGACUGCGCUUCAUAUAAUUUUCAAGAACUGCCUCUUUUAAUAGAUUUAUAUAAUAUUUUACUGCACUGGAAGCACCUGUUCGUUAUAAAAAAUGCCUUUGUAGAGACUGUAUUCUACAGUGUUUUGUUAAAUGAUUUUGUCAAUAAAGG
ensembl:lncRNA